CUAUCGGUCGAGGAGCGGCCCAAGUCCUAUCAGCUUGUUGGUGAGGUAAUGGCUCACCAAGGCAACGACGGGUACCGGGACUGAGAGGUUGACCCGGCGCAUUGGGACUGAGACACUGCCCAGACUCCUACGGGAGGCUGCAGUAACGAAUAUUGGACAAUGGGCGCAAGCCUGAUCCAGCGACGCCGCGUGUAGGAUGAAGUCCUUCGGGAUGUAAACUACUGUCAGGGACCACCACGCAAUACGGGUUAAUACCUCGUAACGCUGAGGAAUCCCAGAGGAAGUCACGGCUAACUUCGUGCCAGCAGCCGCGGUAAGACGAAGGUGGCAAGCGUUGUUCGGAAUCACUGGGCUUAAAGAGCAUGUAGGCGGAUGAUCAAGCGUCUUGUGAAAGCCCUCGGCUCAACCGGGGAAUUGCUUGGCGAACUGGUCAUCUUGAGGCAGGUAGGGGCAAGUGGAACUCUUGGUGGAGCGGUGGAAUGCGUAGAUAUCAAGAGGAACGCCAGAGGCGAAGGCGACUUGCUGGGCCUGUCCUGACGCUGAGAUGCGAAAGCCAGGGGAGCGAACGGGAUUAGAUACCCCGGUAGUCCUGGCCCUAAACGAUGUCCACUAGAUCGGAGAUUCUCUGACGGAUUUCUGGUCGAAAUGAAAACGUUAAGUGGACCGCCUGGGGAGUACGGUCGCAAGGCUAAAACUCAAAGGAAUUGACGGGGGCUCACACAAGCGGUGGAGCAUGUUGCUUAAUUCGAUGCAACGCGAAGAACCUUAUCCUGGACUUGACAUGUUCGGAUGCCUCCCUGGAAACAGGGUUCGGCUGCCCUUCGGGGUGAAACGAUCACAGGUGCUGCAUGGCUGUCGUCAGCUCGUGUCGUGAGAUGUUGGGUUAAGUCCCGUAACGAGCGAAACCCUUGUCGCUAGUUGCCAGCGCGUAAUGGCGGGGACUCUAGCGAGACUGCCGGUGUCAAACCGGAGGAAGGUGGGGAUGACGUCAAGUCCUCAUGGCCUUUAUGUCCAGGGCUGCAAACGUGCUACAAUGGCCGGUACAAAUCGACGCAAGACCGCGAGGUGGAGCAAAUCGCAAAAAGCCGGCCCCAGUUCGGAUUGGAGUCUGCAACUCGACUCCAUGAAGUCGGAAUCGCUAGUAAUCGCGUAUCAGCGUGACGCGGUGAAUGUGUUCCUGAGCCUUGUACACACCGCCCGUCAAGU
rnacentral:rRNA from 1 species